CCGCUGACGUAAAAACUGCCUGGAAACACAAAACACUAAGUCUGUUUGGUCUGUCAGUCCACAUUCCUUCCUGAUUCUCCGUUUGCUCCAGGUUUAAAACUGAAGUACCUGGUCUUCCUUGGCGUUUCUUUUCCUCCAGAUAAGCGAUCACUUCCUUUGGAUCUGGGCUGUCAGCGUACCUGCAGACACAGCGCCCCCAAGAGGCCAGAUAGAGAUGCUUUGAUUCUCAACCUGUGACAAACAGAGCUUCGUGCUGAAGAGCGAGAGGAUGAAGUCCACCAGCUGGACGUGAUCUUCAUCAGU